rnacentral:RNase_P_RNA from 1 species
AGUCGGUUACACGGUUGCGUAUUCCGUUUGGAAUAUGAGGAAAGUCCGAGCCCCAUAGGGCAGAAUAGCAGCUAACGGCUGCCGAGGGCGACCUUAGGGAAAGUGCAACAGAGAUAUACCGCCGUAACGCUUGGGAUUUCCCUUGAGUUUCCGCUUGCGGAACGCCGUUACGGUAAGGGUGGAAAGGCGAGGUAAGAGCUCACCGGCAUUAUGGAGACAUAAUGGCCCUGUAAACCCUAUUCGGAGCAACGCUGAGUGUGGCUAUACAUUUGCCCGAUGUGCCACGAAAAGCGGCUGGAGCGUCAAGGCGACUUGGCGUCGAGAUAGAUAACCGUGCUUGACAGAACUCGGCUUACAGACCGACUCAU